AGUGAACGCUGGCGGUAGGCCUAACACAUGCAAGUCGAACGGCAGCACAGUAAGAGCUUGCUCUUACGGGUGGCGAGUGGCGGACGGGUGAGGAAUACAUCGGAAUCUACUUUUUCGUGGGGGAUAACGUAGGGAAACUUACGCUAAUACCGCAUACGACCUACGGGUGAAAGCAGGGGAUCUUCGGACCUUGCGCGAUUGAAUGAGCCGAUGUCGGAUUAGCUAGUUGGCGGGGUAAAGGCCCACCAAGGCGACGAUCCGUAGCUGGUCUGAGAGGAUGAUCAGCCACACUGGAACUGAGACACGGUCCAGACUCCUACGGGAGGCAGCAGUGGGGAAUAUUGGACAAUGGGCGCAAGCCUGAUCCAGCCAUACCGCGUGGGUGAAGAAGGCCUUCGGGUUGUAAAGCCCUUUUGUUGGGAAAGAAAAGCAGCAGGUUAAUACCCCGCUGCUCUGACGGGACCCAAAGAAUAAGCACCGGCUAACUUCGU
rnacentral:rRNA from 1 species